rnacentral:rRNA from 1 species
UACGAAGGGGGCUAGCGUUGCUCGGAAUCACUGGGCGUAAAGCGCACGUAGGCGGAUCUUUAAGUCAGGGGUGAAAUCCUGGAGCUCAACUCCAGAACUGCCUUUGAUACUGGGGAUCUCGAGUCCGGGAGAGGUGAGUGGAACUCCGAGUGUAGAGGUGAAAUUCGUAGAUAUUCGGAAGAACACCAGUGGCGAAGGCGGCUCACUGGCCCGGUACUGACGCUGAGGCGCGAAAGCGUGGGGAGCAAACAGG